CCCCUGCUUAUUGCAUCAGCUCUCAUCCUUGGGGUCACCCUCACUGUGUCGAUUUCAAACGGCCGCGGUGUGCAGUGCAAAGUCAAAUGGUCAUUUGGGAUCCCGUGCAAUGAUGUGUAUGUGGCGAUGGUGGACCAGAUCAAGGCCUGGCAGGCUACGAGAAGCUGUCAAUCUACAGCAGAGAACUGCUCAUAUGAGCUUCUGUCUGCAACUCCUGACCUGAUCAAAGCCAGGCACACCUCCCAAACAAGCAAGGAAGUGGAGAACCUUCAGUUU